CCCUUAGAUGUUCUGGGCCGCACGCGCGCUACACUGACGGAGGCAACAAGCCUAUCCUUGGCCGAGAGGUCCGGGUAAUCUUCGAAACUCCGUCGUGAUGGGGCUAGAUGAUUGCAAUUAUUCAUCUUCAACGAGGAAUCCCUAGUAAGGGCGCGUCAUCAACGCGUCCUGAUUACGUCCCUGCCCUUUGUACACACCGCCCGUCGCACCUACCGAUUGAAUGGUCCGGUGAAGCCUCCGGAUUGGCGCGCACCUCGGUGCCGCCGAGAAGUUGGCUAAACCUUACCAUUUAGAGGAAGGUGAAGUCGUAACA
rnacentral:rRNA from 1 species